AAAUAAUAAGAGUGUAGUGUCUGGUUGGUGUUGCAGAAAGGCGGUUGGUCACACUCAAAUAAAUUCUGACAAUGAACCAAUUUUUUUUAAUGAGGCUAACCGAGUCUCUGUCUAUCUCAAUCGCACAGUGUACACAGAAAAUCCGAUGACAGAUGAAAGAAUCAACAUUUUUCAUUUGCCGCAAAAGUUUUUAUUUAUUUGAUAUUUUUGCUUGAAAUUUCAUAUGAUAAUAAUUUAUGUUGCAUAUAUUUUCUCCAUUCCGAAAAAUCCAACAAGAUAUAUGAAUAAAAUAAGACGGAUAGAGAACUUCAUUCAAACGGUGUACACUGUUGAUUAGGUAAACAAAUCAUAUGUUGCUGUGUGUUUAUAAUCGUCGCAUCUACCACCUAUCGCACGUCGAAAUGUCUAUGUUGGUUGUCAGUUGUUGUUCAGCAUUGUUAAAGGAACGAUGUCCAUAAAGGGAAAGAGCUUUGGUAUCGAAAUUGAGAUCCAUUCGGGAAGACGGUCAAAUUUUCGGGUUGUGUCAAAAAAAAAUAUCAAUAUAAAAUUAAACUGAUUGAAUCGAAUAAUAAUGAUGGCAAAUUACAUUUGCCGAAUAAAAAAUGCCGAAAAUUGUAAUUUUUAUCGAAAAUUCAUGAAUACUGAAAAUGAUGCGAAUUUCCAUCAAUUUAAAAAUUACAAUUGGAUAUUCGGUUUUCAUAC